AGCAGCCGCGGUAAUUCCAGCUCCAAUAGCGUAUAUUAAAGUUGUUGCAGUUAAAAAGCUCGUAGUUGAAUUUCGGGGUUAGUAGAUCGGUCGUGCCACUGGUAUGCACUGGUCUCACUGAUUCCUCCUUCCUGAUGAACCGUAAUGCCAUUAAUUUGGUGUUGCGGGGAAACUGGACUGUUACUUUGAAAAAAUUAGAGUGUUUAAAGCAGGCUAACGCUUGAAUACAUUAGCAUGGAAUAAUGAAAUAGGACGUUCGAUCCUAUUUUGUUGGUUUCUAGGAUUGACGUAAUGAUUAAUAGGGAUAGUUGGGGGCAUUAGUAUUCAAUUGUCAGAGGUGAAAUUCUUGGAUUUAUUGAAGACUAACUACUGCGAAAGCAUUUGCCAAGGAUGUUUUCAUUAAUCAAGAACGAAAGUUAGGGGAUCGAAGACGAUCAGAUACCGUCGUAGUCUUAACCAUAAACUAUGCCGACUAGGGAUCGGAUGAUGUUAAUUUUUUAAUGACUCA
rnacentral:rRNA from 1 species